rnacentral:tRNA from 1 species
GGGAAUGUGGCUUAGUGGUAGAGUGCAUGCCUAGCAUACAUGAAGCCCUGGGUUCAAUUCCUCAGUACCA